rnacentral:rRNA from 1 species
UUGGGAAUCUUCCGCAAUGGGCGAAAGCCUGACGGAGCGACACUGCGUGAGGGAAGAAGGCCUUCGGGUUGUAAACCUCUGUCGAGAGGGGAAGACCUCAGACGGUACCCUCAGAGGAAGCCCCGGCUAACUACGUGCCAGCAGCCGCGGUAAGACGUAGGGGGCGAGCGUUAUCCGGAAUUACUGGGCGUAAAGGGCGUGUAGGCGGUUAGGUGUAUCGAGGGUGAAAUCCCACGGCUCAACUGUGGGAAGACUCUCGAGAUUACCUAACUAGAGGGUAGAAGAGGGAGAUGGAAUUCCCGGUGUAGCGGUGAAUGCGUAGAUAUCGGGAAGAACGCCGGUGGUGAAGACGGUCUCCUGGGCUACUACUGACGCUGAGGCGCGAAAGCUAGGGGAGCGAACGG